AGAGAGAGACAUGCGCGCAUAUCAAUAAGCGGAGGAAAAGAAACUAACAAGGAUUCCCUUAGUAACGGCGAGUGAAGCGGGAAGAGCUCAAAUUUGAAAUCUUCAAGGUUUUACCUUGACGAAUUGUAGUUUAAAGAAGUGUUUUCUGCUGAAGUUUUGGUAAAAGUUCUUUGGAAUAGGACAUCAUAGAGGGUGAGAAUCCCGUAUUUGACCAUUAUUUCAGCUUUGUGAUACACUUUCAAAGAGUCGGAUUGUUUGGGAAUGCAGUCCAAAAUGGGUGGUAAAUUUCAUCUAAAGCUAAAUAUUGGCGAGAGACCGAUAGCGAACAAGUACCGUGAGGGAAAGAUGAAAAGAACUUUGAAAAGAGAGUUAAACAGUACGUGAAAUUGUCAAAAGGGAAGCGUUUGACACCAGUGUUGUUUUCUCGAAAAUCAAUUAAAAAUGGCUCGAUUUUGUAUUGUUGAGACCUUAAAAGCUCACUGUACAUUUUUCGUGUCUUUUUUAAUGCACUUUUCGUUUAACAAGUCAACAUCAGUUUCUUUUGUUGUAAAAGGGUCAUUGGAAGGUGGCUUUCUUUUCGGAGAAAGUGUUUAUAGCCUUUGGCCUCUGCAAUCGGAGAGACUGAGGUCUGCAGCGUAGACUCUUCGGGGUUAGAUACAUUUGUGCUAAGUUAUAGCUUUUUAUAGACAACUUGUUGACUAUAAUUAGUCUUGUAGCUUACUCGCUUAUGCUAUUUUACCUACGCUUAGGAUGUUGAAGAUGUAGCACAUCAU
rnacentral:rRNA from 1 species